GAUUGAUGUAUUUGUUUUUAAUAUCAUUGAUUUUGUGUAAGGUAAUGGGGGGGUUUGAAUUAGAAAAAGAUAUUGAGAUUAUAUGUUAAGGAAUUGUGGUUUUAGAAUUUGGGGUUUGGAAUGGAUUUGAGGUUAAAGGGAGGAUGGGGUUGAGGUUUUGAAUAUAUAUGAAGUAGAAGAUAAGGAAGAUGGGGUUUGGGGUUUCGGAUUUUAGGGAUUUAAACAUAAUCCUCGUGAUUUCCUCAUAAAUUAACGAGGAACUUACGGCGAUUUUUAAAAAUAAAGAACGCGG
rnacentral:lncRNA from 1 species